GAUGAACGCUGGCGGCGUGCCUAAUACAUGCAAGUAGAACGCUGAAGGAAGGAGCUUGCUCUUUCCGGAUGAGUUGCGAACGGGUGAGUAACGCGUAGGUAACCUGCCUGGUAGCGGGGGAUAACUAUUGGAAACGAUAGCUAAUACCGCAUAACAGUAGAUGUUGCAUGAUAUCUACUUAAAAGGUGCAAUUGCACCACUACCAGAUGGACCUGCGUUGUAUUAGCUAGUUGGUGAGGUAACGGCUCACCAAGGCGACGAUACAUAGCCGACCUGAGAGGGUGAUCGGCCACACUGGGACUGAGACACGGCCCAGACUCCUACGGGAGGCAGCAGUAGGGAAUCUUCGGCAAUAGACGGAAGUCUGACCGAGCAACGCCGCGGGAGUGAAGAAGGUUUUCGGAUCGUAAAGCUCUGUUGUAAGAGAAGAACGAGUGUGAGAGUGGAAAGUUCACACUGUGACGGUAUCUUACCAGAAAGGGACGGCUAACUACGUG
rnacentral:rRNA from 1 species